CAGUCGCCGCGGGAAUACGUAGGGUGCGAGCGUUAAUCGGAAUUACUGGGCGUAAAGCGUGCGCAGGCGGUUCGUUAAGACAGAUGUGAAAUCCCCGGGCUUAACCUGGGAACUGCAUUUGUGACUGGCGAGCUAGAGUAUGGCAGAGGGGGGUAGAAUUCCACGUGUAGCAGUGAAAUGCGUAGAGAUGUGGAGGAAUACCGAUGGCGAAGGCAGCCCCCUGGGCCAAUACUGACGCUCAUGCACGAAAGCGUGGGGAGCAAACAGGAUUAGAGACCCCCGUAGUCCCUGUCUCUUAUAC
rnacentral:rRNA from 1 species